GGAGAAUAGUGAAGUUCCUAUGUAACGACAUGCUAACCUAACAAUUGCCAAGAUAAAGUAACACAGUGAAGAGGUCACUAAAAGGUACAAAGCUCUAAUCUGUCUUCAAUCAGCUGUAUCUGAGAAUAUUUUUUCUAGAAUUAUUAAUUUCAAAAAUCCCAAGUUAGUUUAGGAUACACUUAAAGAAGAAUUUCAGGGCAAUGAAACUACCAAAAUGCCUUAGAUUGUGAAUCUUACUAGAAAGUUUGAAACUUUGAAAAUGAGGAAUAAUGACAGAAUACAAGCUUAUUCUGAUAGAGUUCUUAGGAUUGUUAAUGAGCUAAGGUUGAUAAGAGAAAUAGUUACUGAGAGGAGAAUUGUAGCUAAGUUUCUCAUUAGCUUACUCAAACAAUUUGAAUCUAAGAUCACCUCCUUAGAAGACUCUAAGGAUUUGACUAAGCUUAUUGUAAAUGAGCUCAUUAAUAAUCUACUAGUUCUUGAGCAGAUGAGAGCCAUGAGAUCUGAAUAUGUGGAGAAUGCACUAGUUGCAAAAACUAAGGGAUUGAAAGUAAAAAUGGGAGGUUCAAAGAAGGCUGAACAAAAAGGGAGAAACAAAAGUGGAGAAGAGAAGCAGGAAAAUUUAACAGAUAAAUAUCCACCUUGCUCUAUAUGUAAAAAGAAAAAUCAUUUUGAGAAGUACUAUUGGUAUAGGCCCACAGUUAAAUGUAGGGCAUGCUAGUAGAUGGGACAUGUAAAGAAGGUAUGCAAAGCAAAGAAAACUGAAUCUACAACUUGAGCAGCUGUAGAAAAACAAGAAGACAAUGAUGAUGAGGUUCUGUUUAUGGCUACAAU
rnacentral:lncRNA from 1 species